rnacentral:rRNA from 1 species
GACUUCUGGUUUAAUGCACCUGCCCGCAGCCAACAGGUUUGUGAGUGCCGGCGCGCGUUUACCAUCCUUCCAGGAAACGAGUCUUCCCUUAACUGGGCCGGACUCGGGAUCUGGAUCAUUUACUUUGAAAAAAUUAGAGUGUUUAAAGCAGGCUUUUGCUAUGAAUACAUUAGCAUGGAAUAAUAAUCUAGGACUUGGGUUUCAAAAACUGAAGUAAUGAUUGAUAUUGGCCGGUCAGAGGUGAAAUUCUUGGAUUCGGUCAAGACUAACUUAUGCGAAAGCAUU